CCUACGGGAGGCUGCAGUGGGGAAUAUUGGACAAUGGGGGGAACCCUGAUCCAGCCAUGCCGCGUGUGUGAAGAAGGCCCUCGGGUUGUAAAGCACUUUCAGUGAGGAAGAACGCCUGGUGGUUAAUACCCAUCAGGAAAGACAUCACUCACAGAAGAAGCACCGGCUAACUCCGUGCCAGCAGCCGCGGUAAUACGGAGGGUGCGAGCGUUAAUCGGAAUUACUGGGCGUAAAGCGCGCGUAGGUGGCUUGAUAAGCCGGUUGUGAAAGCCCCGGGCUCAACCUGGGAACGGCAUCCGGAACUGUCAAGCUAGAGUGCAGGAGAGGAAGGUGGAAUUCCCGGUGUAGCGGUGAAAUGCGUAGAGAUCGGGAGGAAUACCAGUGGCGAAGGCGGCCUUCUGGACUGACACUGACGCUGAGGUGCGAAAGCGUGGGUAGCAAACAGGAUUAGAUACCCGUGUAGUC
rnacentral:rRNA from 1 species